rnacentral:tRNA from 1 species
CGGGGUGUGGCCUAGCCCGGUUCAAGGCACCAGUCUGGGGGACUGGAGAUCCCGGGUUCAAAUCCCGGCACCCCGA